rnacentral:rRNA from 1 species
UACAGAGGGGGCAAGCGUUGUCCGGAUUUACUGGGCGUACAGCGCGCGCAGGCGGACCGCGACGUGCCGUGUGACAAGCCACUGCUCACCAGUGGAGGGCCACGGUACACGAGCGGUCUGGAGGCAGGGAGAGGGAUGUGGAAUGCCCGGUGGAGCGGUGAAAUGCGUAGAGAUCGGGCGGAACACCAGCGGCGAAGGCGGCAUCCUGGUCCUGUACUGACGCUGAGGCGCGAGAGCGUGGGGAGCGAACUGG